rnacentral:lncRNA from 1 species
UAGAUUUUAAAGUUAAAUGUCAAGAUAGUUUCUUUAAGAGCACUUAAUCCUUCAUACUUCAAAUUUGAAAGUAAAUGGCCUACUGUAGCUAGCAAGGAAAUGAUAUCUUCUAUUUUGCAUAAAUAAUGAAGUAAAUUGUAUAGUUGAGUAAGAAAAUUACAUAAAGAAUUUGAUAAAUCUAUUUCUGCAUGUGGGUCUGGAGAGUUGUAGUUCUGGUCCACAAUGAUGGCAGUGGUAGAUAUUACAGGGAUGACAAGGUUCUGAGAAAGCACUCCAAGUAGCAAUGUGAACAUAGUGAAAGAAAUAGGACAGUGUCUUUUCCUCUCCAUUGUCACUGACUGCUUAGAACACUAUGAGAAAGAAGAGAAGGGAGGGUUUGAGUUUGGAGAAGGGAGUGGACUGGGAAGAAUAUAUAAAAUGGUUCACAGAGUGGAGUAAAUAUUAGCAGGU